rnacentral:rRNA from 1 species
AUUGAACGCUGGCGGCAGGCCUAACUCAUGCAAGUCGAGCGGAUGAAGGGUGCUUGCUCCUGGAUUCAUCGGCGGACGGUUGUGUCAUUCCUUUUAAUCUGCCUGGUAUUGGGGGAUAACGUCCGGAAACGGGCGCUAAUACCGCAUACGUCCUGUGGGCGAAAGUGGUUUUUCUUCGUACCUCUCGCUAUCAGUUGUUCCUAGUUCGGAUUAGCUAGUUGGUGGGGUAAAGGCCUACCAAGGCGACGAUCCGUAACUGGUCUGAGAGGAUGAUCAGUCAAACUGGAACUGAGACACGGUACAGAAGCAUACGGGAGGAAGGAGUGGGGAAUAUGGGACAAUGGGCGAAAGAGUGAUAAAGAAAAGCCGCGGGUGUGAAGAAGGAAUAAGGAUUGUAAAGAAAUGUAAGUUGGGAGGAAGGGAAGUAAGUUAAGAACUUGAUGUAAUGACGUUAACAACAGAAUAAGCAACGGCUAACUUAGUG